rfam:Pristionchus pacificus strain PS312 contig13658, whole genome shotgun sequence.
UCUUCAUUUUACGUGCUCUCUCACCGGUCAGAGAAGCGAGAAAGUGUGUGAAAUGAAGAGA